GAGUGCAGAGAAGUACAACCAAACUAGUUAGAGGGAUAGAAGACUUAAAUUAUGAGAGUAGACUGUCAAGUUUGGGGUUGUUUCACUGGAAAAAAGACACUUGCGAGGGGACAUUAUGGGGCAUUAUUUAAGGUUUAAUUUUCGAAUUUGUUUUUUUUGUCAAAACUCACAAUUUCGAGUUUAAAACCACCAACUUUGUGGAAUUUGAAUAUGAGAUUUAUCACACCUCAACCCCGGAAACAGCUCUAAUUUGUAACUUCGCCACCUAAAAACUACCAAGUUCAUGUACAAGUCAAUGGCAGAGGUCCAUUGAACCAUUUGAAGUUGUUUAUAUCCUUCCUGACAUUCAAGGCCUUUUCCAGGAAAACUUGAUUAACAUUUGAUUCAAAUUUUACAAACAUUUUCUUUCAUGUUUUUUACAGAAAGCAAACAAUGUUUCAGAAGAUUGUUGACCAAUCAAAAACUUAUGAAGAUGGGCAAAAGUGGAUUGAAUAUUUACCUUUGGAAACAACAAGGAAAGAAAUUGUUAUGAAUUUGCACGCUUCCAUGAAGAAAUACAGCCAAUGUUAGAUGGUUUGUUAAAUAACAGGAAGGAAUGGAAGGCUCUUGCUGAUGAAUAUGAAGCCAAAGUAAAAGCAAUCAAUGGAGAGAAGAAAAAGACAGUAGAGGAACUCGCUGCAAGAAAAGCUGCAGCUGGGGCAAACGCUGCCAAAUCUUCAACCUGUUCAAUAUGUUAGACUAAACCUGCAUGGUAUCUGCAUCAAACAGAAGAAACAAUUGCAGCAAUUAUAUAAGAUUUAUAAGAUGCUGCCAAUAUGUACUGUAUAAAAUGUAUUCCUGUUCUCAGGAACUCAUAUUGAAGUCUAUUUAUCAAUUUGUAGAACUUGAUAAAUUACAUUUAUCUGCAAAAAAAAAGUGAUUAACCUUGAUCGUGUUUUUCUUGAUGACAAAACCAAUUGUGCUAAAGAAUAAUUCUUUAAAUAAAAAAACACAAAUUGAAAAACAAACAUGUUAAUUCGCUGAAAACUCAUUUGCAUUCACUUUUUUUAUUCAAAUUUUCUUAUCAUUAGAAAAUUCAUCUCAAAUUUAAAUAGACCCCUACCUCUAGUAGCAAAGUAAACUCAUAAUAAAAAUUAUCAAUGAUAUUUAUGUCACUAUUUUGAUGAUUUGAUCUUUUUAGUAAUUGAUUUAAUUGAAUAGUAGUUAUAAAAAAAUGGUAAGUAUGCUUUGAUUAUUUGAAUGUCUAUGGAUGUUGUUAGAUCUUUGUUUUUUUUUUCUUUAUUUCAAGUGUGAGACAUCACAAAAAAAUGUUACAUUGCUCCUUCAAUACAUCAUAGUUUCAAUGACACUUUUUUCUUCACCAGAAAUUUUUUUUGAGUUGUAAUUAUAGGCUUAUAUUUACUAACUGAACUUGAGAAUACUUCAGUGAAUACACUGAUUUUCAUAAAAGAACUUGUUUUUUUCUGCACUUGAAUACUCUGGUAUGCUAGAGAAUGACAUCUGAAAACAAAAAUAAAACGCUUGCAAGGUUUUAGGUGAAAAACUUUUACUAAACAUGCCCCAUAUUGCAAUUAAACAUGUUGUUCUUAGAGCAAUAUGCUGAGAUGCUGGGGGUAUGGGGAAUCUCUUUUUAAAGUUCACUGCAUUUAAAUGCCAAGAAAUAUAGGAUGUCCAGUCUCUAUCAAUUAAACCUUUCAGAAAACAGUUAGGGGCAGAUUCACUAAGGGUCGAAUUUCGAAGUAAAAAAU